UGGGAUUACAGGCGUGAGCAACUGCGCCCGGCCUACUAAUCUGUUUUACAGAUGAACUUGAGGUUCAGAGAGGUCAAGUCAUUUGCCUGAGGACACACAGCCCAACUCUGCCUUUAACACUGACCAGGCAAUGGAGUGGGAGUGAUGAGAAUGAAGUGGUGGCUCUUCUGGGGCCAGAGGACAGUUCCAAAGUCCCAGGCAAGGGGAGUUCCAUCUUCCAGUCCCGCCUCCUGGUUGUCAGCUGCGCUGAUAGGGGCCCAAGUAGGAGUUCUGAGGCUCCAGCCUCUCAGGCCCCACUUGCCCCACCGAUUCUGCUUGCAGACCUUCCAGCUAACUGGAACCUGUGUCCACAGAAUGCUGUCCAGUUUCAACGAGUGGUUUUGGCAGGACAGGUUCUGGUUACCACCCAAUGUCACAUGGACAGAGCUGGAAGACCGGGAUGGCCGUGUCUACCCCCACCCCCAGGACUUGCUGGCAGCCCUGCCCCUGGCGCUGGUCCUCCUGGCCAUGCGCCUCGCCUUUGAGAGAUUCAUUGGCCUGCCCCUGAGCCGGUGGCUGGGUGUGAGGGAUCAGACCAGGAGGCAGGUGAAGCCCAACGCCACGCUGGAGAAACACUUCCUCACAGGACACAGGCCCAAGGAGCCCCAGCUGUCCCUCCUGGCCGCCCAGUGUGGUCUCACGCUCCGGCAGACCCAACGAUGGUUCCGGAGACGCCGGAACCAGGAUCGACCCCAGCUGACCAAGAAGUUCUGUGAGGCCAGCUGGAGGUUUCUCUUCUACCUGUCCUCCUUUGUGGGCGGCCUCUCAGUCCUGUACCACGAGUCAUGGCUGUGGGCACCAGUAAUGUGCUGGGACAAUUACCCAAACCAGACUCUGAAGCCAUCCCUGUACUGGUGGUACCUCUUGGAGCUGGGUUUCUACCUCUCACUGCUAAUCAGGCUGCCAUUUGAUGUCAAGCGCAAGGGUGGGGGACCUUCCAGCAUCAAGCCUCGUCCCCACUAUGACCCACCGUCUACUGCAGGAUUUCAAGGAGCAGGUGAUACAUCACUUCGUGGCGGUCAUCCUGAUGACCUUCUCCUACAGCGCCAACCUGCUACGCAUUGGCUCUCUGGUGCUGCUGUUACACGAUUCCGCCGACUACCUGCUGGAGGCCUGUAAGAUGGUCAACUACAUACAGUAUCAGCAAGUGUGCGACGCCCUCUUCCUCAUCUUCUCCUUGGUCUUCUUCUAUACCCGACUGGUCCUCUUUCCCACCCAGAUCCUCUACACCACAUACUACGAGUCCAUCAGCAACAGGGGCCCCUUCUUCGGCUACUACUUCUUCAACGGGCUUCUGAUGUUGCUGCAGCUGCUGCACGUGUUCUGGUCUUGCCUCAUUCUGCGCAUGCUCUAUAGCUUCAUGAAGAAGGGCCAGAUGGAGAAGGACAUUCGUAGUGAUGUAGAAGAAUCAGACUCCAGUGAGGAGGAGGCGGCGGCCCAGGAACCUCUGCAGCUAAAGAACGGGGCAGCUCGAGGGCCCAGGCCAGCCCCCAUUGAUGGCCCUCGGAGCCGGGUGGCCGGGCCUCUGACCAACAGGCACACAACGGCCACAUAGCCAGGCGGGGCUGGCUGUAAGGGGCUGCCCCCAGCACCUUGGAUAUUUCUGGGGUGACUGGACUGGCGCCCCUGGGCCACCUUUCCGGAGACAGGGAGGGCCCCUCCCGGGGUGGACGGGGAGGGCUGAUGAUCUGUCUCCAGCCCCUUCCUUCUGCCCACCCACCCUUCUUCCCUCUGGGCAACUGGACAGAGCUGGGAGCCAGCAGCUGGAUGCUGUGGCUGGCCAGAGACACCUCCAGACUGGGGGCUGGGGGGAGCCCCAGGCUGAAAAGGGUCCAAUUAAAACAUAAACAGAGCCAAA